CGGCCGCGGUAUCCUGACCGUGCAAAGGUAGCAUAAUCACUUGUUCCUUAAUUAGGGACUAGCAUGAAUGGNCAAACGAGGAUUCAACUGUCUCUUAUUUUCAANUCAGUGAAAUUGACCUUUCAGUGAAGANGCUGAAAUACUAAAAUAAGACGAGAAGACCCUAUGGAGCUUAAAUNNNNNNNNUAAUUUUACUCCCACCAGCCUAAUGGUACAAAACAAAAAUUUUAAACUCUAAAUUUCGGUUGGGGUGACCUCGGAGAACAAAAAAUCCUCCGAAUGAUUUUAACANAGACCAACAAGUCAAAGUAACCUAAAAAUCUAAUUGACCCAAAAAUCUUUGAUAAACGGACCAAGUUACCCUAGGGAUAACAGCG
rnacentral:rRNA from 1 species